rnacentral:rRNA from 1 species
UAGGGAAUAUUAGAAAUGGACGCAAGUCUGAUCUAGCAACACCGCGUGUGCGAAGAAGGCCUUCGGGUUGUAAAGCACUUUUUGGAAGGAUUAGGAAGGAAUGUACUUCCAGAAUAAGUCUCGGCUAACUACGUGCCAGCAGCCGCGGCAACACGUAGGAGGCAAACGUUGUCCGGAUUUACUGGGCGUAAAGCGCGUGUAGGUGGUUCUGUAAGUAGGGCGUGAAAGCUCCUGGCUCAACCGGGAGAGGCCGUUCUAAACUGCAGAGCUAGAGGAUGGUAGAGGGAGGUGGAAUUCCGGGUGUAGCGGUGGAAUGCGCAGAUAUCCGGAGGAACACCAGUGGCGAAAGCGGCCUCCUGGACCAUUCCUGACACUCAGACGCGAAAGCUAGGGUAGCAAACGG